AGAGUUUGAUCCUGGCUCAGGACGAACGCUGGCGGCGUGCCUAAUACAUGCAAGUCGAGCGGACAGAAGGGAGCUUGCUCCCGGAUGUUAGCGGCGGACGGGUGAGUAACACGUGGGUAACCUGCCUGUAAGACUGGGAUAACUCCGGGAAACCGGAGCUAAUACCGGAUAGUUCCUUGAACCGCAUGGUUCAAGGAUGAAAGACGGUUUCGGCUGUCACUUACAGAUGGACCCGCGGCGCAUUAGCUAGUUGGUGAGGUAACGGCUCACCAAGGCGACGAUGCGUAGCCGACCUGAGAGGGUGAUCGGCCACACUGGGACUGAGACACGGCCCAGACUCCUACGGGAGGCAGCAGUAGGGAAUCUUCCGCAAUGGACGAAAGUCUGACGGAGCAACGCCGCGUGAGUGAUGAAGGUUUUCGGAUCGUAAAGCUCUGUUGUUAGGGAAGAACAAGUGCAAGAGUAACUGCUUGCACCUUGACGGUACCUAACCAGAAAGCCACGGCUAACUACGUGCCAGCAGCCGCGGUAAUACGUAGGUGGCAAGCGUUGUCCGGAAUUAUUGGGCGUAAAGGGCUCGCAGGCGGUUUCUUAAGUCUGAUGUGAAAGCCCCCGGCUCAACCGGGGAGGGUCAUUGGAAACUGGGAAACUUGAGUGCAGAAGAGGAGAGUGGAAUUCCACGUGUAGCGGUGAAAUGCGUAGAGAUGUGGAGGAACACCAGUGGCGAAGGCGACUCUCUGGUCUGUAACUGACGCUGAGGAGCGAAAGCGUGGGGAGCGAACAGGAUUAGAUACCCUGGUAGUCCACGCCGUAAACGAUGAGUGCUAAGUGUUAGGGGGUUUCCGCCCCUUAGUGCUGCAGCUAACGCAUUAAGCACUCCGCCUGGGGAGUACGGUCGCAAGACUGAAACUCAAAGGAAUUGACGGGGGCCCGCACAACCGGUGGAGCAUGUGGUUUAAUUCGAAGCAACGCGAAGAACCUUACCAGGUCUUGACAUCCUCUGACAACCCUAGAGAUAGGACUUUCCCUUCGGGGACAGAGUGACAGGUGGUGCAUGGUUGUCGUCAGCUCGUGUCGUGAGAUGUUGGGUUAAGUCCCGCAACGAGCGCAACCCUUGAUCUUAGUUGCCAGCAUUCAGUUGGGCACUCUAAGGUGACUGCCGGUGACAAACCGGAGGAAGGUGGGGAUGACGUCAAAUCAUCAUGCCCCUUAUGACCUGGGCUACACACGUGCUACAUUGGACAGAACAAAGGGCUGCGAGACCGCAAGGUUUAGCCAAUCCCACAAAUCUGUUCUCAGUUCGGAUCGCAGUCUGCAACUCGACUGCGUGAAGCUGGAAUCGCUAGUAAUCGCGGAUCAGCAUGCCGCGGUGAAUACGUUCCCGGGCCUUGUACACACCGCCCGUCACACCACGAGAGUUUGCAACACCCGAAGUCGGUGAGGUAACCUUUAUGGAGCCAGCCGCCGAAGGUGGGGCAGAUGAUUGGGGUGAAGUCGUA
rnacentral:rRNA from 1 species